rnacentral:rRNA from 1 species
GUGAGGAAUUUUGCGCAAUGGGGGCAACCCUGACGCAGCGACGCCGCGUGGAGGACGAAGUCUUUCGGGAUGUAAACUCCUGUCAGUGGGGACGAUAAUGACGGUACCCACAGAGGAAGCACCGGCUAACUCCGUGCCAGAAGCCGCGGUAAGACGGAGGGUGCAAGCGUUGUUCGGAAUUACUGGGCGUAAAGCGUAUGUAGGCGGCAAGUUAAGUUCAAUGUUAAAGCCCACGGCUCAACCGAGGAGAUGCAUUGAAUACUGGCUAGCUAGAGGGUGUUAGAGGAAGACGGAAUUCCCAGUGUAGCGGUGAAAUGCGUAGAUAUUGGGAGGAACAUCGGUAGCGAAAGCGGUCUUCUGGGACAUACCUGACGCUGAGGUACGAAAGCGUGGGGAGCAAACGGGAUUAGAAACCCCUGUAGUCC